GGAGUGGAGAACUGGAGAUCAUACAUGCACUAAGAAUAUAUGUUACUAUACACUAGUAGUGCACAGCUCACAUUUCAUUGUCGGCUCAUCCAGAAGAAUCUGACAUUUUAAUAAUUGAGUUUCUUUAACACCUCACUCCAUAACAAACAGUCAAACAUUCAUACAAAGACACACUUACAUAUAGAUACAAUUAUUUAUAAGCCUGCAUUAAUAUUUUAUGGCAACAUAGAAUGAAUUAUAUAUGAAAGAAAUGAAGUUGAACUUAAAAACAUGGUGGUGGUCUCUGCGCACUUAGCUGUUGCAAUGGGUCUUGAAAAAUCUUCUUUGAGUGUGCCUGAAUUAAGAGAUCAAUUUCACCAGAAAGAUAAUGUGGGAACAUGUGAUAUAUAAGUGGGGAGUUGAAUCGAGAAGCAAGAGGUCCUGUUUAUACUGAUGAGAGUUGCCAGUUCAUUGAAAUUCAUCAGAAUUUUAUGAAGAAUGGGAGGCCUGAUUCAGAGUAUAUGUACUGGAGGUGGAAGCCUAGGGAUUGUGAGCUGCCACAAUUAGCCUGAAAGUUUCUUGAAAUGAUGAGGGAUAAAGCUUGGGCGCUUAUGGAGAUUCAAUAUCUUGAAAUCAUGUUUAGUCAUUGCUUUGCAUACUGGCAAAAGUAGAAAGCAAAUAUUCAUGCUUUUUCUAGGAAGUUAAAUGCUCCAUAAUUAUGAUCAUGCUGCUAUUAGACGUACUUCGUUUGUGAAGGGAUAUUAGACAUACUUAUAAGUGAUGUAUAUUAUGUGUUCGCUACUUGCUAGUAUCACUUAAUGUACUGAUAGAUAUUGAUUAGUAGGUAUCGUAUCAUCCAUUUGCCAAAGGAUCUGCUAAUGUCGAGCAUUCCAAUAAGCUAUAUGCUUAUAAUUUGUUAAUCUUGUGGUUUGAAUUGUGAACAGAAAUGAAGUAUAAUAACGUAGGAGUUGCUGAAUUCUUCUUGGAACACCAA